GAAUCUCUGCAGUUGAAAAAAUGGAUUUCUAUAGAAAAAAAACCAAAAUGGGCCAUGAAAUCUUCCACUGACUGUAGAAAUUAAUUCACAUAUCUCUUUUUAAAUCCUUGCAAAUUCAAACUUGCAGGCAGUUCUAUAAUUAAGAUUUCUUUUUUUUUUUUCAUCAAUUUUCUUUUCUCUCCCACUCUGUCUUUAUUUAAAUAAAACUGGAAAAAAUGUUAAAUUAUAAUAAAAUUUGAAAUAAAAGCUGUCAUAGUUCACAGAAAUACUCACACGUACAGUCUUAGAGUGUCAGCUGCAAAUGCAUAAAACACACAUCAUGUACACUUGUAGACAUUUGUGAUAACAAGUUUCAAAAAGGUUAGAUUAACAACUACUCAGAUUCACAAAGUGGUCAUACACAGGUUAAGAAAAGUCAUGGAAGUUUGUCAUCACAACAUACAUACAUACAUAUAUUUACAUAUGUUGAUGCAUACAUAUAUGAAAUUUGCUUAGCAACCACUUGGUUCUGGAUUCAGUUCCCCUGUGUGUUAUCUUGAGCAAGUGUCUUCUACUGUGACCUUAGAGAACCACAGCCUCUUGUGAAUGUAGUUUGGGAGGUGGAGACUGUGUGGAUGCCCAUUGGAUGUAUACAUGUGUGUGUGUAUAUGCAUUAGAUGACAAUAUCGGGAUGUCAGAAAUACCUUGUGUAAUAUAUUUCAGUUUUGUCAAAAACAUCCAAUCAAUUUUGCCUUUCAUCCCUUCCAAAGUUGAUAUAAUUGACUAAAACCCUUUGAGUCAGUGCCCCAGCAUGGCCACAGUCCACCUUUUGAAACCUAUAUAAACACUAUUCUUAGCAAGGUAUUUUUCUCUAAGAGAGCUCAACUAAUGUUCAUAUAUAUCCUGAAAUAUUUGGGGUUACACCAUUAAGUUUAGACAAUGAAAAUGAAAAGAAAGAGUUAACUUCUGGUACAAGAUAUAAAGGAAAUAAGCAUGAAUGACAAUUUUUCAUGUGAAUGAAUAAUGAUCUUUUUCAUUGGCGCAAGACCAAAAUAUGUAAUAAAAUAAUGCUAAUGAACAGAUUGAGUUUGCCUUACUCAGAAAUAUAAUUAAACUUUAUAAAAUCAGGGAAAUAUUUCUUUUGUAUAAUUUGAUUUAACCAAAAAAU